GGUGGCUCAGUGGUAAAGCGCUUGCCUGGCAUGCAUGAAGCUCUGGGUUUGAUUCCUCAGCACCA
rnacentral:tRNA from 1 species